UGAGGACAUUAUAUUAUAAGUUAAAAAAUAAUAAUAAUAAUUCAAAUACAUAAUAGCACAACAAAUGUGAUUUUGUCACUAGAAUAAAUUCAUUGCAUUAUGAGAUUCAUAGUCUGAACUUUCAGUGUUGUUCUGUGUAAAGGCUGUGUUAUACCCAUACAUAUUGUUAUCCGAAAUCACAUGUCCACCUUGAAAACUCUCCAUCGAUGGAACCCAAGGGCCUGCAUUCGGGUUGUUAGAGCUAGAGGCUUCUUGGUUCACGUUUUGCGAAUUCUGGGGUGAGUUACCGGCUGGUCUCUUGUUGGAAGAGUUUGUUGUCAUCACAGAUAUAGAUGCUGUCUGUUGCUGCUGAUUCUUCAUGGGUGACUUAGGACGAAGAGACUCUAUUUCAGGUGUUGUAAUAACAAGAUGUGCGGCGCCUGGUGGUGGAUUCCUUCCUCCACCACCCUGCCAGACUUUACCAUCCCUAUCGGCAAAAUUCCGAACAUAGGUCUCUGCACUGAAGUUCGAUGAAGAUAAUCCUUUACCAACAGUCAACCAGCCAGAUCGAAUAUUAUGGUCUUCACCAAAGAGUUCAAGCCUUCUCCGGCCAAGCGCAAAAUGUUCAAUUAUGCGGUACAUAUCUUCAGGCUUUACAGUUGAUCCAUAAGGAGGUUCCUCAGCAAUAAUCACAUCUGUGUCAAUAUUUGCAUGAAUUAUAUGCCCAUCGGUACUACGACGAACAGUUCCUUUUAUGCCCAAAAGGCAGUGUUCCUUUGUAUGCUGAAAUAAAGUAUGGGAAUCAUGCCGUAAUCCUGGAGUAGCAUUGGUUUUAUUUGUUUUCACCCAACAUAUGUCCUCACAUCUGCGGAAUCCCCACUUCUUCAAACAUUGGCGCCCUUGCUCGAGCCCCACGCCAUCACCAACCCAAAG
rnacentral:misc_RNA from 1 species